UAAAGGUAUCUAUGUUGUUUCAUUGCGAGGGUUUAUUGUUAUGCAUCUUGAAAGACGAUAAUACUAAGGUUGUUGUUUGGAAUCCGUAUUUGGGGCAAAGAAGGUUUAUCCAAG
rnacentral:sRNA from 1 species